AAUGAACGCUGGCGGCGUGCUUAACACAUGCAAGUCGAACGAGAAAGGCUGUCUUCGGAUGGCUGAGUAAAGUGGCGCACGGGUGAGUAACGCGUGGGUAAUCUGCCCUUGAGUCUGGAAUAACGUUCCGAAAGGGGCGCUAAUACGGGAUAAGACCACGGUCGCUUUGGCGGCAGGGGUAAAAGGCCCUUUCGGGGGUCGCUUGGGGAUGAGCCCGCGUGACAUUAGAUUGACGGUGGGGUAAUGGCCUACCGUAUUGUCGACGAUGUCUAGCUGGUCUGAGAGGAUGAUCAGCCACACUGGGACUGGAACACGGCCCAGACUCCUACGGGAGGCAGCAGUGAGGAAUUUUGCGCAAUGGGGGAAACCCUGACGCAGCAACGCCGCGUGAGUGAUGAAGGCCUUUUGGUUGUAAAGCUCUGUCGCCUGGGAAGAACCCUUGGGGGAGGAAAUGCCCUUAAGCUGACGGUACCAGGAAAGGAAGGACCGGCUAACUCCGUGCCAGCCGCCGCAGUAACAC
rnacentral:rRNA from 1 species